GCUCGUGGAUCGAUGAAGACCGCAGCUAAAUGCGCGUCAGAAUGUGAACUGCAGGACACAUGAACACCGACAAGUUGAACGCAUAUUGCACAUCGUACAACAGUACGAUGUACACAUUUUUGAGUGCCUAUAUUUAUCUAUUCAACUAUACGUGCGUGCGCGUCUCACUCCGGGUGGACAGGCGCACGGCCCAUAAGCACGUAUGCGUAGUGAUGUUUUCCCGCCUUCGGUGGCGGUAAAACUUUGAAGAUAGUCAGGCGCGUCCUCUCUCUGAGCAGGACGUGGUUGAUGAAUACAUCCCAUUGACCAGCUCCGUUGGCUCUGUUGUAUUCCAUCUCCAAACACACACACUUGCAAUAGCAUAAUGUACCAGUAGGCCUCAAAUAAUGUGUGACUACCCCCUAAAUUUAAGCA
rnacentral:rRNA from 1 species